UUGAACGCUGGCGGCAGGCCUAACACAUGCAAGUCGAGCGGAUGAAGGGAGCUUGCUCCUGGAUUCAGCGGCGGACGGGUGAGUAAUGCCUAGGAAUCUGCCUGGUAGUGGGGGAUAACGUCCGGAAACGGGCGCUAAUACCGCAUACGUCCUGAGGGAGAAAGUGGGGGAUCUUCGGACCUCACGCUAUCAGAUGAGCCUAGGUCGGAUUAGCUAGUUGGUGGGGUAAAGGCCUACCAAGGCGACGAUCCGUAACUGGUCUGAGAGGAUGAUCAGUCACACUGGAACUGAGACACGGUCCAGACUCCUACGGGAGGCAGCAGUGGGGAAUAUUGGACAAUGGGCGAAAGCCUGAUCCAGCCAUGCCGCGUGUGUGAAGAAGGUCUUCGAAUUGUAAAGCACUUUAAGUUGGGAGGAAGGGCAGUAAGUUAAUACCUUGCUGUUUUGACGUUACCAACAGAAUAAGCACCGGCUAACUUCGUG
rnacentral:rRNA from 1 species